rnacentral:rRNA from 1 species
AUGUACUCGUCGCACUCGCUGAGCCGCGUCAACAACAUCUGCGCCUCCCUCAUCAACGCGCAGAAAGGUACCCAAUCUGCCGCCACCUACUUUGCCCACAUGCGUGGUCUCGCCGACGAGCUCGCCGCGGCGGGCAAGCCAAUCCAGGAUGAUGAGCUGAUCUCCUACAUCCUCCAUGGGCUGGAUCUGGAGUAUCAGCCCCUGGUCUCAGCCCUUGACGCUCGCGUCUCCCCUGCCUCCCUCGAUGAGAUCUUCGCCAUGCUCAGCAACUUCGACCAACGCAUGGCGCAGUUCCACGGUGCGGGCGGCAACUCCUUCAAGUCAUCGGCAAACACUGCAACCCGCGGCUCUGGUGGUGGCCGUUCCCGCGGCUCCUCCCGCGGAAGGGGCGGUCUGGUGGCAGCGGCAACAACGGCGGGCGCUCCAACAACAAGGCUCGUCACGGCGGCGGCAGCGGUUCUGGUCGAUCUCGCCCGGAAUUGCCUCGCUGCCAGCUAUGUGGUAAGCCGGGCCACACCGCAAAAGAUUGCUGGUACCGUUAUGAUGAGGACGAGGAUGACUCUCAAGACGAUGACAAGAUCGCUGCAGCGGCCGACGGCUCCUAUGGCAUCGACACCAACUGGUAUGUUGAUAGUUGCGCAACCAACCACAUCACCAACGAACUUGAGAAGGUGA